CCUACGGGAGGCUGCAGUGGGGAAUAUUGCACAAUGGGGGAAACCCUGAUGCAGCGACGCCGCGUGAGUGAAGGAGCGUUUCGGUGCGUAAAGCCCUAUCGGCAGGGAAGAAAAUGACGGUACCUGACCAAGAAGCCCCGGCUAACUACGUGCCAGCAGCCGCGGUAAUACGUAGGGGGCAAGCGUUAUCCGGAUUUACUGGGUGUAAAGGGGGCGCAGACGGCGAUGCAAGCCUGGAGUGAAAGCCCGGGGCCCAACCCCGGGACUGCUCUUGGAACUGGAUGGCUGGAGUAUAGGAGGGGCAGGUGGAAUUCCUAGUGUAGCGGUGAAAUGCGUAGAGAUGAGGAGGAACACCGGUGGCGAAGGCGGCCUGCUGGACUGUGACUGACGUUGAGGCGCGAAGGCGUGGGGAGCAAACAGGAUUAGAUACCCUGGUAGUC
rnacentral:rRNA from 1 species